UCCACCCAUAUCAAAUCCUCUCUCCGUCACCGAGUUGCUUCUUCUCUCCGUCGCACCAAUUUCUUCUGCCGCUGGCGUCACAGAUCCCUCUCCAUCGUCCCUUGCGUCGUACGGGCUCCCUCCGCCACCGCAUCCAACCCUAACCCCAGAGCUUCAUCGCGCCUCCAACCCUAAUCCCAGAACUUCGUCGUGCUUCCAACCCCUGCUUCGCCGCUCCCUCCAUCGACGCUCCCUUCGUCUCAAAGCCUCCGUCGUGCUCACUCUAUCGUAAGCCUUCAAACGUUGCUCCUUCCUCCAUGACUGAAACCCGUAAUGCUCUGCUUUUUCUCCUGCAUCGUGGCUUCACCUUCCUCCAAACAAAAUUGAAAAACCCUAACCUGGAGGCCUUCCACUGCAAACCUACCGAUCCCUAAUUCCGUCUCAUCAUCAGAGAUUGAAAAUGAGUAGGCGUGGGAGCAGAAUAGUCUACGUUGGGAACCUCCCUGGUGAUAUUCGUGAAAGAGAAGUAGAAGAUUUGUUUUCAAAGAAAAUUCAGCAGAUUGGCGCCAACUUGUAUGAAAUUUUGGGAAAAAUAUGUACGGUAAUUUUUAAUGAAAUAAGUUGAAUAAUGAAUCUGAUGAUGAUUUGCAGAACUGCAUCACACUAACAAAGGAGAAUGUCAAAGGCAUAAUCAUGUGCAUUUAUGAUUGGAGGUAGGAAACUAAUAACCAAUGCACAUUGUGUGGAACAUGAUACACAGGUUAAAGUUAAGAGAAGAGGGAAAUAAUUGAAUCUUAUUAUACAUAGCAUCAAGAACUGUACCAUUAAAUAUUUUCUGAUUAGCCUGAUAGAAUGUUGCCUUAUAGCAUGGCCUAUAAUCAUGAUGAGGAUGAUGAUGAAGAAGAGGGGGUCACAA